rnacentral:rRNA from 1 species
AUACGUAGGGGGCGAUCGUUGUCCGGAAUGAUUGGGCGUAAAGGGCGCGUAGGCGGCCCGGUAAGUCUGGAGUGAAAGUCCUGUUUUUAAGAUGGGAAUUGCUUUGGAUACUGUCGGGCUUGAGUGCAGGAGAGGUAAGUGGAAUUCCCAGUGUAGCGGUGAAAUGCGUAGAGAUUGGGAGGAACACCAGUGGCGAAGGCGACUUACUGGACUGUAACUGACGCUGAGGCGCGAAAGUGUGGGGAGCAAACAGGAUUAGAUACCCUGGUAGUCCACACUGUAAACGAUGAAUGCUAGGUGUAGGGGGUAUCGACCCCUUCUGUGCCGCAGUCAACACAAUAAGCAUUCCGCC